rnacentral:rRNA from 1 species
UACGUAGGUGGCGAGCGUUGUCCGGAUUUACUGGGCGUAAAGAGCGCGCAGGCGGUCGUAUAAGUCGCGUGUGAAAGCCCCCGGCUCAACUGGGGAGGGUCACGCGAUACUGUUCGACUCGAAGGCAGGAGAGGGAAGUGGAAUUCCCGGUGUAGUGGUGAAAUGCGUAGAUAUCGGGAGGAACACCAGUGGCGAAGGCGGGUCUCUGGGCCGAUACUGACGCUGAGGAGCGAAAGCGUGGGGAGCGAACAGG